GAUGAACGCUGGCGGCGUGCCUAAUACAUGCAAGUCGAGCGAACGGACGAGAAGCUUGCUUCUCUGAUGUUAGCGGCGGACGGGUGAGUAACACGUGGAUAACCUACCUAUAAGACUGGGAUAACUUCGGGAAACCGGAGCUAAUACCGGAUAAUAUUUUGAACCGCAUGGUUCAAAAGUAAAAGACGGUCUUGCUGUCACUUAUAGAUGGAUCCGCGCUGCAUUAGCUAGUUGGUAAGGUAACGGCUUACCAAGGCAACGAUGCAUAGCCGACCUGAGAGGGUGAUCGGCCACGCUGGAACUGGGACACGGUCCAGACUCCUACGGGAGGCAGCAGUAGGGAAUCUUCCGCAAUGGGCGAAAGCCUGACGGAGCAACGCCGCGUGAGUGAUGAAGGUCUUCGGAUCGUAAAACUCUGUUAUUAGGGAAGAACAUAUGUGUAAGUAACUGUGCACAUCUUGACGGUACCUAAUCAGAAAGCCACGGCUAACUACGUG
rnacentral:rRNA from 1 species